CAGUCGCCGCGGUAAUACGUAGGGCGCAAGCGUUGUCCGGAAUUAUUGGGCGUAAAGAGCUCGUAGGCGGUCUGUCGCGUCUGGUGUGAAAUCCCGAGGCUCAACCUCGGGCUUGCAUCGGGUACGGGCAGACUAGAGUGCGGUAGGGGAGACUGGAAUUCCUGGUGUAGCGGUGGAAUGCGCAGAUAUCAGGAGGAACACUGAUGGCGAAGGCAGGUCUCUGGGCCGCAACUGACGCUGAGGAGCGAAAGCAUGGGGAGCGAACAGGAUUAGAUACCCGCGUAGUCCCUGUCUCUUAUAC
rnacentral:rRNA from 1 species